AUGCACUGCUCCUUACCAGCACAAAGCUAUAUUUUCUUGGAGACUUCCAGAUCGUUCAAUAUAUUUUCUUUUGGAGAAUGUGUUUUCUUUUGGUGGCCAUUUCAUGCACAGAGGAACUAUCAGUGUCUCUGCUUUCCCUUCAGGGAACAACUCCUAAAUUUACAGAGUUUGAACUUCCAAGUCAGUCUCAUUUUCCAAGCAACAGUUUCGAUGGGCAAGAAGCAAAGACUGGCACAAAGGAGGGAGUGGGAAACGGAGCAAGUCAACUUCUCAGCACCCGCCACAGAGGAAAGUGCUGACCCAGCCAGCAAGGGGCCCUGGGACCCAGCUGACUCCAAAGCAGAUGGCGAUGUGAGGGGCACAUUCAUCACACAGCUACCUGAGCAGCAGAUGAACAAGAUUCCCAGCAAUCCUGUGUUCAGUCUGUAGCUUAAGAAAUACAGCCAUCUUACCCUCUCUCUCUCUUUUAAAGUAGGAGCAGAUAUUUUUCAUGUCUCACCCAGAUGCUACUAUUUCUCUGUUAUUUGCACUUGCUGUGUUGAAAUGCAACAGAUGUUUCGAAAGGGUUUAAAUUCCUCAUGAGGGACUCUGACAAAUAAACUGCACACCUCACUUUACAGCCUCCCUUUGCUCAGACUCUUGGCAGACUUUUUUUUUUUUUUUUCCCAGGCUGGAGAGAAAGAAGAAGAAUUCUGUUUUUUUUUUUUUUUUUUUUUUUCAGGCUGGAGAGAAAGAAGAAGAAUUCUGGUACAAAAUGACAGUGGAAAGAAUAUAACAACAAUCAUGAUUGUUUAUUGAGCUCCCAGGGUUUGUUGUGUGGACCUGAGUGUGUGCCUACCUAUGCUCAUAUCUGACUCUUUUGCGACCCCAUGGACUGUAGCCUGCCAGGCUCCUCUUUCCAUAGAUUUUUCCAGGCACGAAUACUAGAAUGGGUUGCCCUCUUGGAAGAAAAGUUAUGACCAACCUAGAUAGCAUAUUCAAAAGCAGAGACAUUACUUUGCUGACUAAGGUCCAUCUAGUCAAGGCUAUGGUUUUUCCUGUGGUCAUGUAUGGAUGUGAGAAUUGGACUGUGAAGAAGGCUGAGCGCCAAAGAAUUGAUGCUUUGAACUGUGGUGUUGGAGAAGACUCUUGAGAGUCCCUUGGACUGCAAGGAGCUCCAACCAGUCCAUUCUGAAGGAGAUCAGCCCUGGGAUUUCUUUGGAAGGAAUGAUGCUAAAGCUGAAACUCCCAUACUUUGGCCACCUCAUGCGAAGAGUUGACUCAUUGGAAAAGACUCUGAUGCUGGGAGGGAUUGGGGGCAAGAGGAGAAGGGGACAACAGAGGAUGAGAUGGCUGGAUGGCAUCAGUGACUCGAUGGACGUGAGUCUGAGUGAACUCCAGGAGUUGGUGAUGGACAGGGAGGCUUGGUGUGCUGCGAUUCAUGGGAUUGCAAAGAGUCGGACGUGACUGAGAGACUGAACUAAACUGAAAUGAACUGAACUGAACUCCAGGAGAUCUUCCUAACCUAGGAAUCGAACCUGAGUCUGUUGUGUCUCCUGCAUUGGCAGGCAGAUUCUUUACCACUGCACCAUCUGGGAGGCCCUAGAAUGGUUAAUUACCCAAAGUGGUUUUCUCUUUGUUAUUUUACUUGACACUUGUAGCUCUCCAAAGAGGGCAGAUAUCAUUGCCCCCGUUUUGCUUAUGAAGAAAUUGAAGCACACACAAGAUAAAGAAAUUGACUGAAAGUAAAGCUGAUCCAUAUUUGAAGAAAGAACUUGAAGAUAGAUCAUGGAAUCUUAGUCUUUGAGCACACAUAAAAAAACAUUGAAAUAAAUUCUUUCAAUAAACCAAAUUCCCCAGCCUUUACCAGUAAAAGAGGUCACAGCAUAAGUAACACCCACAUUUUAUUGGAUUUUAGCCCUCCCUGUAUUCUUUCUAAGAAUCCCUUGGUGUGUCUCAGAUGUAU
ensembl:lincRNA